rnacentral:rRNA from 1 species
UACAGAGGUCUCAAGCGUUUGUUCGGAUUCAUUGGGCGUAAAGGGUGCGUAGGUGGCGCCGUAAGUCGGGGUGUGAAAUUUCGGAGCUUAACUCCGAAACUGCAUUCGAUACUGCGGUGCUUUGAGGACUGGAGAGGAGACUGGAAUUCAUGGUGUAGCAGUGAAAUGCGUAGAGAUCAUGAGGAAGACCAGUGGCGAAGGCGGGUCUCUGGACAGAUACUGACACUGAGGCGCGAGAGCGUGGGGAGCAAACAGG